rnacentral:rRNA from 1 species
UUAAAUUGAAGAGUUUGAUCAUGGCUCAGAUUGAACGUUGGCGGCAGGCCUAACACAUGCAAGUCGAACGGUAACAGGAAGCAGAUUGCUGCUUUGCUGACGAGUGGCGGACGGGUGAGUAAUGUCUGGGAAAGAGGUGGAGGGAGGGGGAGAACUAAGGGUAACGGUAGCUAA